CCAGAACAGACUGGGGGCCACGACAACUGAACGUCAGUGAGGGUCAUAACCAGAACAGACUGGGGGCCACGACAACUGAACGUCAGUGAGGGUCAUAACCAGAACAGACUGGGGGCCACGACAACUGAACGUCAGUGAGGGUCAUAACUAAAAAGGCAUUGUGCCAAAAGAAAGUAAAAGAGACAUCUGGAUAGAUCUGCUAGUUCCAUUUUCAGAUGGAAAAAAUGAAUUCAGGUUCAAUUGAAUAAAGGCGUUAAUUUCAGGGACUUGUCCAAAACUAAAAACAUGAUUUAAAAGUGUUUCACGUUCAUUCUGACAAUAUUUGUGGUUCUGAACGGUUUCCAACAGUCUGACCGACACGUAGCCUGAAAUCCAGUCAUCUUUGUGCUAACAUUCCACUCCUUGCCAAUCCUUGUCAUGCCAAACAGUGGCAAGGAGUGGAAUGUUAAGACAUCCUGGAUUCCAGGCUACCCAUCAGGCAGGCUGACAGAACAGUGAGGGUGUAUCUUAGCAACGAGGGAACAUGAACUGAAUUAUACCAUUUUAUUACUAAAAACAAAAGGCUUCAUCAUGUUUCAUCUGAAAACAGGCUUUACAUGAGCCUACCCACACGUUAGAAAAAUAGAGUUGCAGUUAGGAAUAUGAUGUAUAUCAUAGCAAAAAUAUACGUGGACCUUUCUCUGUGUGGGGAGGCAGGUAGCCUAGUGGUUAGAGUGGAGGGGCGGCAGGGUAGCCUAGUGGUUAGAGUGGAGGGGCGGCAGGGUAGCCUAGUGGUUAGAGUGGAGGGGCGGCAGGGUAGCCUAGUGGUUAGAGUGGAGGGGCGGCAGGGUAGCCUAGUGGUUAGAGGGGAGGGGCGGCAGGGUAGCCUAGUGGUUAGAGAGGAGGGGCGGCAGGGUAGCCUAGUGGUUAGAGAGGAGGGGCGGCAGGGUAGCCUAGUGGUUAGAGAGGGGCGGCAGGGUAGCCUAGUGGUUAGAGCGUUGAGCUAGUCACCGAAAGGUUACAAGUUCAAAUCCCUGAGCUGACAAGGUACAAAUCUGUUGUUCUGCCCCUGAACAAGGCAGUUAACCCACUGUUCCCCAGUAGGCCGUCAUUGAAAAUAAGAAUUUGUUCUUAACUGACCUUGUUAAACAAAGGUAAUAAAAAAAAAAUGGGUCCUACUUCUCAGGGCUCAGUCCUACUUCUCAGGGCUCAGUCCUACUUCUCAGGGCUCAGUCCUACUUCUCAGGGCUCAGUCCUACUUCUCAGGGCUCAGUCCUACUUCUCAGGGCUCAGUCCUACUUCUCAGGGCUCAGUCCUACUUCUCAGGGCUCAGUCCUACUUCUCAGGGCUCAGGGGUCAGUCCUACUUCUCAGGGCUCAGGGGUCAGUCCUAGUUCUCAGGGUCAACAUACUGCCAUCUAACAGGCUCUGUCCAACACACAGAGGAGGUUCAACAUACUGCCAUCUAUCCUGACAGGCUCUAUCCAACACACAACAUACUGCCAUCUAUCCUGACAGGAUCUAUCCAACACACAACAUACUGCCAUCUAUCCUGACAGGAUCUGUCCAACACACAACAUACUGCCAUCUAUCCUGACAGGCUCUGUCCAACACACAACAUACUGCCAUCUAUCCUGACAGGCUCUGCCCAACACACAACAUACUGCCAUCUAUCCAACACACAACAUACUACCAUCUAUCCAACACACAACAUACUGCCAUCUAUCCUGACAGGCUCUGUCCAACACACCACAUACUACCAUCUGUCCAACACACAACAUACUGCCAUCUAUCCUGACAGGCUCUGUCCAACACACAACAUACUGCCAUCUAUCCAACACACAACAUACUGCCAUCUAUCCUGACAGGAUCUGUCCAACACACAACAUACUGCCAUCUAUCCUGACAGGAUCUGUCCAACACACAACAUACUGACAUCUAUCCUGACAGGAUCUGUCCAACACACAACAUACUGACAUCUAUCCUGACAGGAUCUGUCCAACACACAGAGUGGUGUUGUUUUUCUACUGCUUAUGAAGCUGCUGGUGACUGGUUGUAUUCUUGGAUUCUACAUGAAAUGCUUCACUUAGGCUAGACUGGUCUAUGUUAGAGCAGAAACUGUGUGGCAGUGUUUACUAGGGUCUUCCCAGACAUACUGUAGUAGAUUCCUUUUGUGGUCCACAUUCAGGAUUAAACAGAAGUCUAAACAAACGGAUGGAUCUGGCUUAAGACGGCACUACGCUAGUUUUCUGAGACACACAAUUAUUCAAGGACGUUACCAGCACAAAGAACAACUAUAAAACAAACGGUUUGUAGUUCCAUCUGUACAAGAGACAGAAACACUGAAGUUAAAUUAUUCCUCUCAUUUAGCUCUCCCUCAACAUACUGUUCCACUGUCUGUUCCAUCAACCAGAGUUCAAUAACAGAACUAUUCUCUGGACCGGGACACAGAACCACCGUCUGUUCCAUCAACCAGAGUUCAAUAACAGAACUAUUCUCUGGACCGGGACACAGAACCACUGUCUGUUCCAUCAACCAGAGUUCAAUAACAGAACUAUACUCUGGACCGGGACACAGAACCACCGUCUGUUCCAUCAACCAGAGUUCAAUAACAGAACUAUUC
ensembl:lncRNA